rnacentral:rRNA from 1 species
UUACCUACGGGAGGCAGCAGUGGGGAAUAUUGCACAAUGGGGGAAACCCUGAUGCAGCAACGCCGCGUGAGUGAGGAAGUAUUUCGGUAUGUAAAGCUCUAUCAGCAGGGAAUAGAAAAGAAGGUACCUGAAAAAGAAGCCCCGGCUAACUACGUGCCAGCAGCCGCGGUAAUACGUAGGGGGCAAGCGUUAUCCGGAUUUAUUGGGUUUAAAGGGUGCGUAGGCGGAAUGCCAAGUCAGCGGUAAAAUCGCGGGGCUCAACCUCGCUCCGCCGUUGAAACCGGCGUUCUUGAGUGGGCGAGAAG